GGGGCCCGGCCGCAAGCUGGGCGUGACGUCAUGGGCCGCCAGCACACUGAAGCGAAAACUAGACAAUUGCAUGCCGACCUUGUGUGUAAAGCAUAGAUCAUAGAUCUUCAGCGGAGCUCUAUGAUCUUUGGUGUAAAGUUCUGUGUGUGUGUGUGUUGGAAAUCUGACAUGAACCCUGCCGGAUGCUGCAAAUAUAUCUGCGUUGUGAGAGAGACAAGAAAAACUGAGUUGAACGUUCAAGUACAGGGACCUGCUGAAUGUUCCCAAGCUGUUUUUGGACGUUUAUGUGUAAUGCAAGUUGCAGAACUUGCGCAAGUUGCUACGGAAGUACCAACUUUACAUGCAUUAGCAUUCAACCACACUCGUCCGACCUUCCAUAUGAGGAACAGAAUGCUUGGGAAAACACAAGUGUCAGAGACUCUCGUUCAAUCCUGACCUUGGAUGCUGUCUGUAUGGUGUUUGCACGUUCUCCCUGUGACCACGUGAGUUACCUCCAGGUUCCCAACCGUCUGCCUACACCAGGGGGCAACACAACCCCACGGAAGGAGUGAAGGACUGAUCUGCCACUGAGGGACCUCCCAUUGAAGGAUUGAGACCCACACAGAUGAGAGGUCAAAGAGUAGGUCACCCCACCAGCCCUCUCAGCUUGAAUCCGUGUGUGGCAUAAGAGAUUAGUGGAGUGCAAGAUAAUUUACCCCGUGCAAAAUUGGUACAGCUUUAUUUGUGUACGUUUUUGAAGUCAACUACAAUUUUUUUCUCUUUAGCAUCAAGACUGUGAACUGAGACUCAUACUUCAGAGUUGCGGAAUAUGUACAAUGAACCUAAACAAGCGAAAAGGAACAAUUGUGUCCCUUGCACCAAUGGGUGCAGCUUUGUGCACACAGAUCUGACCACAAGAGACAGAAUUCGACUUUGUAUUAAUCCACAUUGUGGUCUAAAUUCUGUUUUUAAAAAUCUGCUAAAUGCUUUGCAGGCGUAACUGCUGAGCACAACAUUGCAACAUGCACAUGCACACACACACAUACACGCACACACACACACACACCCGACUCAUAACAUAAGCUGCAGAACUAUUAACUCAGCAAAUUCAUCAGGUCCUAUUUUAUCUGGGUUUGUAAGCAAAGGCUUCAAAGAUGUUUGCAGAUGAGCUCUUCAUUCAAGCCAUUAUUUUUUGCUUUCUUCUCGUCCAGCACUUCCCCCACCACCCAAAUCUAUAGAUUGUCUUAGGGCUCAUUUUAGCUUCAAAUAUUUCGCCUGUCAAAUGUCACAGGCCAGGAUACGCUAGCUGCAAAACAGCAGCAAGAACACCGAACAAAACUAAACGCUAUCUGUGUUAGUUUCCAAAAAUUAAGUGAGUCAUUCAGCUACAAAAAUGAUAGGAAGCAUGUAAAUCUAAUCAGCCUUUCUUUUGUAUCUGAUUCGAGGCAAGACUAUGUUGCAACACCCCAUUGCAAAUAUCAGUGUAUUUAGAGCCUGUGAUGUUAAACAUAUUGCUCGGUGUGAUAGUAUUUUGGCCGUGCCAUCUCUGCUCCUAUGAUCGGCAAACAUUUCAUCAACUUUGAAGCAAACUAUUUUACAAAAUAAUUCACACACAAGUGCAAUUCCAAAGCAACAUAUUAUGUUUCAAGGCUGUUAUGGCAUGAAUUAUGAUUACUGUUGCUUGAAACAAAAUUGCUGCUCCCACCAUUCGCAAUCAUGGGUCUACUCUGUCUGUGCCCAAGUGCAGCAAACUGCAGCCGGCUCUGUCCAACUCAUCAUAAUGCUAUGCUGCAAGGCUGCAAACACAACCACAGCAGCAAACAGCCAUUUUGAAACCGACUGCAGAGAAACAAAAUGCGAUCAGCUGCUGCAAAAUGGCUGCUGCUGAAAGCACACCAGCUCACAGCCCCGACACCACUGAGCAACAUUACAGAGUGGCAAUCGAGAAUUUAUCCUGACUUCCACAUCAGUAAAUGAUGCCCUAAACAAAAUGGUAACAAAAGGCGAAGCUACGUUUUAUAAUUGUAAUCUAUAGUUACUUUCUCUACCUAAAUCCAUUAAAAUAGUAUCGAGACUACAAGUCAUUGACAACCUUGCGUCUUUGACCUGAUCCUAGACUCUAAUCCUGGCGUAAAGAAAAAACACAAAAUCCUUUAAAGACAAAUAGUUUGUUUUAUUCUAUUGCACUUGCAAACAUUUAGGAUUUUAAUUUAGAUUAAAAAGAUUAGACUUUCAAUUGCUGCAAGUAAGUAUUUAAUUGUUCCGUUUGGGCACAUAUUACAAUUAAAUACUCCUGACUAGAUUGUACCACAAGGCAGUAGCCAGCUUGCUUGGCAGAUCAAUAGUAGAACGUCAAUUGCUUUGGAUACCAACUGACAUUACACACUUCAGGCACAGUAAAAUUAAACUGAAGCACAACAUUUAAAAAGGCAUUUCCUUCAUAUUAGAUUCGGCGCUUAAUAGCAGGGAAAGGAAACAGCUUCUCUGAAGCUGAAGCUAAAAGCUAAAAUAGGGAGACUUUCUUCAUUAAUCCCUUGGCCUUGUCCAACAUUUAUACCAAUUUACAGUGUUACUGGUGCAACGUCAAACCUGCCCGAAUAAAGUCCGGGAGUCAAGCAAGAUAGGGGAUGAUAAAGAUAUGCAGAUGAAGAAACAAAAAAUCCCAAGC